rnacentral:rRNA from 1 species
CCCUUAGAUGUUCUGGGCUGCACGCGCGCUACACUGACGCACGCAACAGGUGCCUGCUCCGAGAGGACUGGGUAAUCAUUUGAGUGUGCGUCGUGAUGGGGAUAGAAUAUUGUAAUUAUUACUCUUCAACGAGGAAUUCCUAGUAAGCGCCAGUCAGCAGCUUGCGCUGAUUACGUCCCUGCCCUUUGUACACACCGCCCGUCGCUCCUACCGAUGGGUGAUCCGGUGAAUGAUUCGGACUUCAGCGGCUCCCCUGGGGUGCGCCGGAGAAAGUUUUGUGAACCUUAUCACUGGGAGGAAGGAGAAGUCGUAACA